rnacentral:rRNA from 1 species
UACGUAGGGUGCGAGCGUUGUCCGGAAUUACUGGGUGUAAAGGGUCCGCAGGCGGGCAAGUAAGUCGGUGGUGAAAGUUCACGGCUCAACCGUGAAAUUGCCUUCGAUACUGCUUGUCUUGAGUUCGAGAGAGGAUAAUGGAAUUCAUGGUGUAGCGGUGAAAUGUGUAGAGAUCAUGAAGAACACCGGUAGCGAAGGCGGUUAUCUGGCUCGAUACUGACGCUCAGGGACGAAAGCGUGGGGAGCAAACAGG